UGUGGCGAUGCCGCGACGUGGACGCGGAGCGAUAAGGUGUGGCCUCCCAUUGGUGGCUUCGGGCUAUGGUGAUGCUGACGUGGACGCACACGUGGCAUGUUUUGCGGCGGGGACUGGCAGAGCAAGGAUCUGUUUCUAUAGGUAACAAAUCCAUCACAUUCAGAUGAAGAAGUGAUUGCAGACCUCUUGCACAUAUGGACCGAAGACUCCAAAUUUCCAAUCAACAUCUUCUAACUUAAUUCGGGAUUUCUAAUCAGCAGCCAAUUUUAUGCUCUGAACUGUGCAGAGUUUCAGUUCUGUUUGAAGGAGAUGCUUAUCUUUAAUUUUAGCAUGUGAAAUCAAUGCUUACGUUCUGUAUC